rnacentral:rRNA from 1 species
AUUGAACGCUGGCGGCAGGCCUAACACAUGCAAGUCGAGCGAGCGGCGGACGGGUGAGUAAUGUAUGGGAAUCUGCCUGAUGGCGGGGGAUAACUACUGGAAACGGUAGCUAAUACCGCAUACCAUCAGAUGAGCCCAGAAAGGAGUAGCUAGUAGGUGAGGUAACGGCUGACCUAGGCGACGAUCCCUAGCUGGUCUGAGAGGAUGACCAGCCACACUGGUACUGAGAAACGGCCCAGACUCCUACGGGAGGCAGCAGUGGGGAAUUUUGCACAAGGGGCGCAAGCCUGAUGCAGCCAGGCCGCGUGGAUGAAGAAGGCCUUCGGGUUGUAAAGCACUUUCAGUGAGGAGGCGUUACCGACAGAAGAAGCACCGGCUAACUCCGUGCCAGCCGCCGCGGUAAUAC